GGACGACGCUGGCGGCGUGCCUAACACAUGCAAGUCGAACGGGGUGAUGACUUCGGUUAUUACUUAGUGGCGAACGGGUGAGUAACGCGUGAGAAACCUGCCUUUCAGUGGGGGACAACAGUUGGAAACGACUGCUAAUACCGCAUAAUGUUAUUUAGGGGCAUCCCUGAAUAACCAAAGAUUUAUUGCUGAAAGAUGGUCUCGCGUCUGAUUAGCUAGUUGGUGAGGUAACGGCUCACCAAGGCGACGAUCAGUAGCCGGUCUGAGAGGAUGAACGGCCACAUUGGGACUGAGACACGGCCCAAACUCCUACGGGAGGCAGCAGUGGGGAAUAUUGCACAAUGGGGGAAACCCUGAUGCAGCGACGCCGCGUGAGCGAUGAAGUAUUUCGGUAUGUAAAGCUCUAUCAGCAGGGAAGAAAAUGACGGUACCUGACUAAGAAGCACCGGCUAAAUACGUG
rnacentral:rRNA from 1 species